GGAUUCCCCUAGUAACUGCGAGUGAAGCGGGAAAAGCUCAAAUUUAAAAUCUGUCAGUCUUUGGCUGUCCGAGUUGUAAUCUAGAGAAGUGUUAUCUGCGCUGGACCGUGUACAAGUCUCCUGGAAUGGAGCGUCAUAGAGGGUGAGAAUCCCGUCUCUGACACGGACUGCCAGGGCUUUGUGAUGCGCUCUCAAAGAGUCGAGUUGUUUGGGAAUGCAGCUCAAAAUGGGUGGUAAAUUCCAUCUAAAGCUAAAUAUUGGCGAGAGACCGAUAGCGAACAAGUACCGUGAGGGAAAGAUGAAAAGAACUUUGGAAAGAGAGUUAAACAGUACGUGAAAUUGCUGAAAGGGAAACGCUUGAAGUCAGUCGCGUUGUCCAGGGAUCAACCUUGCUUUUGCUUGGUGUACUUUCUGGUUAACGGGUCAGCAUCAAUUUUGAUCAUUGGAAAAAAGUUAAGGGAAUGUGGCAUCUUUGGAUGUGUUAUAGCCUUUGAUUGCAUACAAUGGUUGGGAUUGAGGAACUCAGCACGCCGCAAGGCCGGGUUUUUAACCACGUACGUGCUUAGGAUGCUGGCAUAAUGGCUUUAAUCGACCCGUCUUGAAACACGGACCAAGGAGUCUAACAUGCCUGCGAGUGUUUGGGUGGAAAACCCGAGCGCGUAAUGAAAGUGAAAGUUGAGAUCCCUGUCGUGGGGAGCAUUGACGCCCGGACCAGACCUUUUGUGACGGUUCCGCGGUAGAGCAUGUAUGUUGGGACCCGAAAGAUGGUGAACUAUGCCUGAAUAGGGUGAAGCCAGAGGAAACUCUGGUGGAGGCUCGUAGCGAUUCUGACGUGCAAAUCGAUCGUCAAAUUUGGGUAUAGGGGCGAAAGACUAAUCGA
rnacentral:rRNA from 1 species